rnacentral:rRNA from 1 species
CCAGACUCCUACGGGAGGCAGCAGUGAGGAAUAUUGGUCAAUGGGCGAGAGCCUGAACCAGCCAAGUCGCGUGAAGGAGGACGGUUCUAUGGAUUGUAAACUUCUUUUGUAGAGGAAUAAUGGCAGCUACGUGUAGCUGAGAUGCAUGUACUCUACGAAUAAGUAUCGGCUAACUCCGUGCCAGCAGCCGCGGUAAUACGGAGGAUACGAGCGUUAUCCGGAAUUAUUGGGUUUAAAGGGUGCGUAGGUGGCGUAUUAAGUCAGUGGUGAAAAGCUGCAGCUCAACUGUAGUCUUGCCGUUGAAACUGAUAUGCUAGAGAGGAGACGAGGUAUGCGGAAUGUGUGGUGUAGCGGUGAAAUGCAUAGAUAUCACACAGAACGCCGAUUGCGAAGGCAGCGUACCAGGCUCCGUCUGACACUGAAGCACGAAAGCGUGGGGAUCAAACAGGAUUAGAUACCCUGGUAGUCCACGCAGUAAACGAUGAAUACUAGAUUUUUGCGAUAUAGUGUAAGAGUCUAAGCGAAAGCGAUAAGCAUUCCACCUGGGGAGUACGCCGGCAACGGUGAAACUCAAAGGAAUUGACGGGGGCCCGCACAAG